rnacentral:rRNA from 1 species
UACAGAGGUCCCAAGCGUUGUUCGGAUUCACUGGGCGUAAAGGGUGCGUAGGUGGCAGGGUAAGUUUGAUGUGAAAUCUCCGAGCUUAACUCGGAAACUGCAUUGAAUACUAUCUUGCUCGAGGUUUGGAAGGGGGACUGGAAUUCUCGGUGUAGCAGUGAAAUGCGUAGAUAUCGAGAGGAACACCAGUGGCGAAGGCGAGUCCCUGGACAACACCUGACACUGAGGCACGAAAGCUAGGGGAGCAAACAGG